rnacentral:rRNA from 1 species
CAGUCGCCGCGGGAAUACGAAGGGGGCUAGCGUUGUUCGGAUUUACUGGGCGUAAAGGGCGCGUAGGCGGACUGAUAAGUCAGGGGUGAAAUCCCAAGGCUCAACCUUGGAACUGCCUUUGACACUGUUUGUCUUGAGUUCGAGAGAGGUAAGUGGAACUGCGAGUGUAGAGGUGAAAUUCGUAGAUAUUCGCAAGAACACCAGUGGCGAAGGCGGCUUACUGGCUCGAAACUGACGCUGAGGCGCGAAAGCGUGGGGAGCAAACAGGAUUAGAUACCCCUGUAGUCCCUGUCUCUUAUAC